GUAAUCCUUGGGCCAAUGUUUCUGACAUUGUUGCUUUUUUUCGUCAGUGGCAUACCGUUGCUUGAGAUAUCUGCUGACAAGAAAUUUGGCAAUGUGGCUGCAUAUAGGGUGUACAAGAGGACAACAAGCCCUCUCAUUCCUCUGCCCCCUGUAGUAUAUGGGAACUUGCCUUCAUGGUUGAAAACAACUUUCCUCUUCGAAUUCCCUUUCUAUAGUCUCAAUCCUGUUCCAUAGUCGCUGUCUUCCUCAUGAGGGGACAACAUGGUGAGACUACUGUACAAUCUGAAGAACCUAUACUGCUCUAGCAUGUGAUUUGACCAAUUUUGCAUUACUGAUGAGUUUUGUGCUUGGAAUAUUGUUCUCAUUUUUCAUAUAAACUUGCAGUAUUCUCAGGAGAAUCUAUUUAUAGUAGUGUGUAUGAAACUGUGGGAUGCUAAACUUGUGUAAUUUUUACAUUUCCAUGGUGUUUUUCUUUAAAUUUUUACUCCUAAAUUAUUAUAAUCUUUUUU
rnacentral:misc_RNA from 1 species